rnacentral:lncRNA from 1 species
CUCUCAGGCACCCAGCGGAGUUUCGAGUCAGACUUGAGCUCGGGCGUAGCGGCUAGACCGGGCUGUGGCGAUAGAGUCCAAAGGAAGGCAGGAUGACUUCAAAGAUCUGCUAGUGCACCUGGAUUCUGGUUUUCUUACUAUUCAGCUUCAUGACCUUGAACAAACUUUACUCAGCUUGGCUGUGCCUCAGUUUAGUCAUCUGGAAAGGAAGGGGAUAGGACUAUAACUAAAUAUAAUUCUAGAUCAUUUUAAGUAUCAUCUGUGCACUCACGCAAUAUGUGCAUGGAACGUGGAGGCGAGAGUACAAAAGGCAUGGUGCUUGCCUAUCGACAUGAGGCCCCUACAACCCAGGGAAGGCCCGGUGGUCCAGGAUCCAGUGCUGCUCCCCAUGUGCCCAUCUCACAUGCUGCUCGGCACCAGCAGCCAUCACCACUCCACUUCUCUCAAGAGAUGGAGGAAGGAGGUCCCAAGCCAAGGAAUGCAGCAUGGGCCUCUAGAAGCUGGAAUGACCCUCACCUCACGGCCAGCAAGAAAUCAGGGAACUCAGUCUUACCCGAGUGAGCAGGAAAUCGAUUCUCCUCUGCAGCCUCUAUAGAGAACACAGCCUGUCAACACCCUGAUUUUGGCCCAAUGAGCCCUGUACCUCCAGAAGUGUAACGUAAUAAAUUUGUGUUGUUUUAAG